UACGAAGGGUGCAAGCGUUACUCGGAAUUACUGGGCGUAAAGCGUGCGUAGGCGGUUUGUUAAGUCCGUUGUGAAAGCCCUGGGCUCAACCUGGGAAUUGCAGUGGAUACUGGCGAGCUAGAGUGCGGUAGAGGAUGGUGGAAUUCCCGGUGUAGCGGUGAAAUGCGUAGAGAUCGGGAGGAACACCCGUGGCGAAGGCGGCUCUCUGGGACGGUACUGACGCUGAGACGCGAAAGCGUGGGGAGCGAACGAGG
rnacentral:rRNA from 1 species